GGGUUGUGAGGUUAAGCGACUAAGCGUACACGGUGGAUGCCCUGGCAGUCAGAGGCGAUGAAGGACGUGCUAAUCUGCGAUAAGCGCCGGUAAGGUGAUAUGAACCGUUAUAACCGGCGAUUUCCGAAUGGGGAAACCCAGUGUGAUUCGUCACACUAUCAUUAACUGAAUCCAUAGGUUAAUGAGGCGAACCGGGGGAACUGAAACAUCUAAGUACCCCGAGGAAAAGAAAUCAACCGAGAUUCCCCCAGUAGCGGCGAGCGAACGGGGAGGAGCCCAGAGCCUGAAUCAGCAUGUGUGUUAGUGGAAGCGUCUGGAAAGGCGCGCGAUACAGGGUGACAGCCCCGUACACAAAAGCGCAUGUGUUGUGAGCUCGAUGAGUAGGGCGGGACACGUGGUAUCCUGUCUGAAUAUGGGGGGACCAUCCUCCAAGGCUAAAUACUCCUGACUGACCGAUAGUGAACCAGUACCGUGAGGGAAAGGCGAAAAGAACCCCGGCGAGGGGAGUGAAAAAGAACCUGAAACCGUGUACGUACAAGCAGUGGGAGCACCCUUUGGGGUGUGACUGCGUACCUUUUGUAUAAUGGGUCAGCGACUUAUAUUCUGUAGCAAGGUUAACCG
rnacentral:rRNA from 1 species